rnacentral:rRNA from 1 species
GGGAUUGCCUUAGUAACGGCGAGUGAAGCGGCAAUAGCUCAAAUUUGAAAGCUGGCGUCUUCGACGUCCGCGUUGUAAUUUGUAGAGGAUGCUUCGGCGAAGACUCCUGCCUAAGUCCCCUGGAACGGGGCGUCAUAGAGGGUGAGAAUCCCGUAUGUGGCGGGCAGUCUAAGCCAUGUGAAGCUCCUUCGACGAGUCGAGUUGUUUGGGAAUGCAGCUCUAAAUGGGAGGUAAAUUUCUUCUAAAGCUAAAUAUUGGCCAGAGACCGAUAGCGCACAAGUAGAGUGAUCGAAAGAUGAAAAGCACUUUGGAAAGAGAGUUAAAAAGUACGUGAAAUUGUUGAAAGGGAAGCGCUUGCAACCAGACUCGCUCGUAGUUGCUCAGCCGGCCUCUUGGCCGGUGUACUCUUCUACGAUCGGGCCAGCAUCAGUUCGGGCGGCAGGAUAAAGGUGUCGGGAAUGUAGCACCCUUCGGGGUGUGUUAUAGCCCGGCGCGGAAUGCUGCCAGCCUGGACUGAGGAUCUCGCUUCGGCAAGGAUGCUGGCGUAAUGGUUGUAAGCGGCCCGUCUUGAAACACGGACCAAGGAGUCUAACAUCUAUGCGAGUGUUUGGGUGUCAAACCCAUGCGCGUAAUGAAAGUGAACGGAGGUGGGAACCCCUCACGGGGUGCACCAUCGACCGAUCCUGAUGUCUUCGGAUGGAUUUGAGUAAGAGCAUAGCUGUUGGGACCCGAAAGAUGGUGAACUAUGCCUGAUAGGGUGAAGCCAGAGGAAACUCUGGUGGAGGCUCGCAGCGGUUCUGACGUGCAAAUCGAUCGUCAAAUUUGGGUAUAGGGGCGAAAG